rnacentral:tRNA from 1 species
GGUAGGAUGGCCGAGAGCCUAGGUGGCGGAUUGUAGCUCCGAGGACAGAGGUUUAAGUCCUCUUCUUACCA